rnacentral:lncRNA from 1 species
UAAUUUGAUACACAGGUUUCAGAUUAAAAAUUCUGAAAUCUGUGUGUCAAAAGAUUUAUUUGUCAAAGUUAAAAAGGAAGAUUAAAAGAAGAAGAAAGGAAGACUCUUACUGUAAUUGUGGACAACAAAUAGCCAAUAUCAUUAAAGGAUCAGAACAGAUAAUUUGCCAGAAAGAAAUUUUAAUUGAUUAACAAGUGUUUGCUAAAAUAUUCAGUGUUCCUCCUGAGACGGUAUCCAUGUACAUUUAAACAAUAUUCUAGCUUUUUUUGUUGGUCACAUUAUCUAAUUACAAAGGAAUGAAUUCCUCACUGUUGGCACAGGUUUCUGGGGGAAAGAUACAUUGGGACUGCCCUUUGGAAGACAGUUUGAAAAGAAGGUUCAACAGCCUUGCCCUGGCCAGACCAUAAAGUCUCAACCUGCCUACCUGGUGUGAAAGUAGCAGUGGAUUUUUAGGGAGAACAAUCCUGCUAUACUGGCCAUGUGUGACUGAGCCAGAGCAAUCCAUAACAGAGGGUAAGCAACUGAGCAAAUUAAAUCUGCCCUGCUUAGGGGUGAGAAGUUAGGAUGAAAGGAGAGAGUGGGAGAAUUGCCACCAUGAGGCACUUUCAAGAGAAAGAAGAUAUUAGAAAAGCAGAGACUUGCGUAAGACUCCUGAAGUAUCCUUUUAACAAACUCCCCUUACUUAAG